rnacentral:rRNA from 1 species
CCUANGGGAGGCAGCAGUCGGGAAUAUUCGGCCAAUGCGCGAAAGCGUGACCGAGCGACACCGCGUGGGCGACGAAGAUCUUUGGAUUGUAAAGCCCUUUUACAGGGGAAGAAAACCGGGUAAAACCGGUGUGACGGUACCCUGAGAAUAAGCAGCAGCAAACUACGUGCCAGCAGCUGCGGUAAUACGUAGGCUGCAAGCGUUAUCCGGAAUUACUGGGUGUAAAGGGUCCGCAGGCGUCUUGUUAAGUUAGAUGUCAAAUCCCAAGUCCUAACCUUGGGUCCGCAUCUAAGACUGGCAGGAUAGAGUGUAAGAGACGGAAGUGGAAUUCCUGGUGGAGAGGUAAAAUCCGUAGAUAUCAGGAGGAACACCUGUGGCGUAGGCGGCUUCCGAACUUAUAACUGACGCUCAGGGACGAAAGCUAGGGAAGCAAACAGGAUUAGAUACCCGUNUANUC